CGUCAAGUCAUCAUGGCCCUUACGGCCUGGGCUACACACGUGCUACAAUGGUCGGUACAAAGGGUUGCCAAGCCGCGAGGUGGAGCUAAUCCCAUAAAACCGAUCGUAGUCCGGAUCGCAGUCUGCAACUCGACUGCGUGAAGUCGGAAUCGCUAGUAAUCGUGAAUCAGAAUGUCACGGUGAAUACGUUCCCGGGCCUUGUACACACCGCCCGUCACACCAUGGGAGUGGGUUGCUCCAGAAGUAGCUAGUCUAACCUUCGGGGGGACGGUUACCACGGAGUGAUUCAUGACUGGGGUGAAGUCGUAACAAGGUAGCCGUAGGGGAACCUGCGGCUGGAUCACCU
rnacentral:rRNA from 16 species